GCUGGGUUGAUUGUGCGGGUUAGAUAGAGGUCGUCAGCCGGGUUGAUUGUGCGGGUUAGAUAGAGAUCAUCAGCCGGGUUGAUUGUGCGGGUUAGAUAGAGGUCAUCAGCUGGGUUGAUUGUGUGGGUUAGAUAGAGAUCAUCAGCUGGGUUGAUUGUGUGGGUUAGAUAGAGGUCGUCAGCUGGGUUGAUUGUGCGGGUUAGAUAGAGGUCAUCAGCCGGGUUGAUUCUACAGGUUAGAUAGAGGUCAUCAGCUGGGUUGAUUGUGCGGGUUAGAGAUCAUCAGCCGGGUUGAUUGUGCGGGUUAGAUAGAGGUCAUCAGCCGGGUUGAUUGUGCGGGUUAGAUAGAGAUCAUCAGCUGGGUUGAUUCUGCAGGUUAGAUAGAGGUCAUCAGCUGGGUUGACUAUGUGGGUUAGAUAGAGGUCGUCAGCCGGGUUGAUUGUGUGGGUUAGACAGAGGUCAUCAGCUGGGUUGAUUCUGCGGGUUAGAUAGAGGUCAUCAGCUGGGUUGAUUGUGUGGGUUAGAUAGAGAUCAUCAGCUGGGUUGAUUGUGUGGGUUAGAUAGAGGUCAUCAGCUGGGUUGAUUGUGUGGGUUAGAUAGAGGUCAUCAGCUGGGUUGAUUGUGUGGGUUAGAUAGAGGUCAUCAGCUGGGUUGAUUGUGUGGGUUAGAUAGAGGUCAUCAGCUGGGUUGAUUGUAUGGGUUAGAUAGAGGUCAUCAGCUGGGUUGAUUGUACGGGUUAGAUAGAGGUCGUCAGCCGGGUUGAUUCCGCAGGUUAGAUAGAGGUCGUUAGCUGGGUGUGUGGGUCCCAAGGCGUGCUGCAGAUGGAGAAUCAGAAUUCCUUGGGCAUCACCGGGCGGGGCAUGUCCCUGUCCCUUCGCUCCCAGACCCAGGCUAGCCGCUACCAGGACUCCUAUCGAGAGCUCUUCAGACACUUUGUCAGAACCCUUAAAGGUGGGUGACGUUUUCAGGAGGAACCUGGGAUGUCCUGAUGCUCAAUGGGUAGAUGCCUUCCAGGCUGCAGUCAGUGCAGAUGAUAUGCCAAUUUCAGGUGGAAAAUUGCAUUCCAGAUACCGGGUUCAGAUUUGAAAUUGUCCAUCUCAGUGAUCAUUUACGUUGCGUGUACUUGAGGGAGAUUCUGAGAGAUGCUCCUUUGGGGUUCUGUGCGUGUACCAUGUUGCCUGACACGUCCUGAGAAAUCUUCUUAAACUCUGAGUUUAUAAAAUAACUACUUCUGAACUCCUGAGAUCUAGUGGAUACCAUGUAUCCUGGAAGAUAGGACACUUUCUACCCUCUGUCAGUCCUGGGGGUGACUGGGAACCAGAGAGGUUGAGCAGAAUUCCUGGACCUGGGUGGGGCUUGUCCAAGAGGGGCAGGUGGGCCUCUCUAGGAUCAGUGUCCCACCCAGAGGCCAGUGGCCCCUUCACAUGCCCCAACAAGAGGAAGACUGUCUGGCUCCGCAGUGUUGGGUUUUGUCCUGAAUCUGUGCAAAUGUGC
rnacentral:lncRNA from 1 species